ACAUUUGUAUGCACACCAGGUGCUUAGGGCGUUAAAAGGGAAUCAGGUGUAAAUCCUGGACAGUCCCGCUGCUGUGAGCUUGAACUCCCAUCGCAGCUCCGAAAUCAUGACCACUGUGCCGCGUCAUAGCGGCAUGGGAAGGUUGGAGCGGCGACAAGCAAGUCAGAAGACCUGCCGGAUCAUCUGUUGACGC
rnacentral:ncRNA from 1 species